GGAUGUGAGGGUGAUCUGGCUGUGAUAUCUGUCACCCCAUUGAUCGCCAGGGGUGAUUUGGCUGAUCUGGCUGGCCAGGCAGGUGUCCCCUUCCUCCCUGACCAUUCCACAUGUGUCCCCCCAAAGCUGUGUGCUCAGCAGCAGAGGACGACCACCCUUGAUAGAGGAGGACCACUCCUCGGUCAAGGUAUAUGAGUAGCUGUGCUCCUCUGCUAGAACCUCCAAACAAGCUCUCAAAAUAAUAUCUGGCAUCUUCUUGACAUUCCAGAGACAUAUUUGAAAUAUGCGAUGCCAAAAGAAGCUAAAAAUGGUGGAGGAAAUUACAGAAGUGUUU
ensembl:misc_RNA 7SK 7SK RNA